rnacentral:rRNA from 1 species
AGUGAACGCUGGCGGCGUGCCUAAUACAUGCAAGUCGAACGGAGAUUAAGUAGCUUGCUAUUUAAUCUUAGUGGCGCACGGGUGAGUAAUAUAUAGCUAACUUGCCCAUUACUAAGGGACAACAGUUGGAAACGACUGCUAAUACCUUAUACUCCGUAUCUAUAUAAGUAGAUACGGGAAAGUUUUUCGGUAAUGGAUAGGGCUAUAUCGUAUCAGCUAGUUGGUAAGGUAAUGGCUUACCAAGGCUAUGACGCGUAACUGGUCUGAGAGGAUGAUCAGUCACACUGGAACUGAGACACGGUCCAGACUCCUACGGGAGGCAGCAGUAGGGAAUAUUGCUCAAUGGGGGAAACCCUGAAGCAGCAACGCCGCGUGGAGGAUGACACUUUUCGGAGCGUAAACUCCUUUUCUUG